AGUGAACGCUGGCGGUAGGCCUAACACAUGCAAGUCGAACGGCAGCACAGUAAGAGCUUGCUCUUACGGGUGGCGAGUGGCGGACGGGUGAGGAAUACAUCGGAAUCUACUUUUUCGUGGGGGAUAACGUAGGGAAACUUACGCUAAUACCGCAUACGACCUACGGGUGAAAGCAGGGGAUCUUCGGACCUUGCGCGAUUGAAUGAGCCGAUGUCGGAUUAGCUAGUUGGCGGGGUAAAGGCCCACCAAGGCGACGAUCCGUAGCUGGUCUGAGAGGAUGAUCAGCCACACUGGAACUGAGACACGGUCCAGACUCCUACGGGAGGCAGCAGUGGGGAAUAUUGGACAAUGGGCGCAAGCCUGAUCCAGCCAUACCGCGUGGGUGAAGAAGGCCUUCUGGUUGUGAAGCCCUUUUGUUGGGAAAGAAAAGCAGCAGGUUAAUACCCCGCUGUUCUGACGGUACCCAAAGAAUAAGCACCGGCUAACUUCGUG
rnacentral:rRNA from 1 species